CCUACGGGGGGCUGCAGUAAGGAAUAUUGGACAAUGGCCGCAAGGCUGAUCCAGCCAUGCCGCGUGCAGGAAGAAGGCCCUAUGGGUCGUAAACUGCUUUUGAACGGGAGAAAACCCUUGCUCGUGAGCGAGGCUGAUAGUACCGUUAGAAUAAGCAUCGGCUAACUUCGUGCCAGCCGCCGCGGUAAGACGAAGGAUGCAAGCGUUAUCCGGAUUCAUUGGGUUGUAAGGGGACGUGGGAGGCAGUGUAGAAAUCGGUGGGCUUAACCCACAAACUGCCAUUGAUACUGCAGGUCUAGAGUACAGUGGCCGUUGGCGGAAUAUGACAUGUAGUGGUGAAAUACUUAGAUAUGUCAUAGAACACCGAUUGCGAAGGCAGCUAACGAAGCUGUAACUGACGCUGAGGCGCGAAAGUGCGGGGAUCAAACAGGAUUAGAUACCCGGGUAGUC
rnacentral:rRNA from 1 species